GAUGAACGCUGGCGGCGUGCCUAAUACAUGCAAGUCGAGCGAACGGACGAGAAGCUUGCUUCUCUGAUGUUAGCGGCGGACGGGUGAGUAACACGUGGAUAACCUACCUAUAAGACUGGGAUAACUUCGGGAAACCGGAGCUAAUACCGGAUAAUAUUUUGAACCGCAUGGUUCAAAAGUGAAAGACGGUCUUGCUGUCACUUAUAGAUGGAUCCGCGCUGCAUUAGCUAGUUGGUAAGGUAACGGCUUACCAAGGCAACGAUGCAUAGCCGACCUGAGAGGGUGAUCGGCCACACUGGAACUGAGACACGGUCCAGACUCCUACGGGAGGCAGCAGUAGGGAAUCUUCCGCAAUGGGCGAAAGCCUGACGGAGCAACGCCGCGUGAGUGAUGAAGGUCUUCGGAUCGUAAAACUCUGUUAUUAGGGAAGAACAUAUGUGUAAGUAACUGUGCACAUCUUGACGGUACCUAAUCAGAAAGCCACGGCUAACUACGUGCCAGCAGCCGCGGNUAUACGUAGGUGGCAAGCGUUAUCCCGGAAUUAUUGGGCGUAAAGCGCGCGUAGCGGUUUUUUAGUCUGAUGUGAAAGCCCACGGCUCAACCGUGGAGGGUCAUUGGAAACUGGAAAACUUGAGUGCAGAAGAGGAAAGUGGAAUUCCAUGUGUAGCGGUGAAAUGCGCAGAGAUAUGGAGGAACACCAGUGGCGAAGGCGACUUUCUGGUCUGUAACUGACGCUGAUGUGCGAAAGCGUGGGGAUCAAACAGGAUUAGAUACCCUGGUAGUCCACGCCGUAAACGAUGAGUGCUAAGUGUUAGGGGGUUUCCGCCCCUUAGUGCUGCAGCUAACGCAUUAAGCACUCCGCCUGGGGAGUACGACCGCAAGGUUGAAACUCAAAGGAAUUGACGGGGACCCGCACAAGCGGUGGAGCAUGUGGUUUAAUUCGAAGCAACGCGAAGAACCUUACCAAAUCUUGACAUCCUUUGACAACUCUAGAGAUAGAGCCUUCCCCUUCGGGGGACAAAGUGACAGGUGGUGCAUGGUUGUCGUCAGCUCGUGUCGUGAGAUGUUGGGUUAAGUCCCGCAACGAGCGCAACCCUUAAGCUUAGUUGCCAUCAUUAAGUUGGGCACUCUAAGUUGACUGCCGGUGACAAACCGGAGGAAGGUGGGGAUGACGUCAAAUCAUCAUGCCCCUUAUGAUUUGGGCUACACACGUGCUACAAUGGACAAUACAAAGGGCAGCGAAACCGCGAGGUCAAGCAAAUCCCAUAAAGUUGUUCUCAGUUCGGAUUGUAGUCUGCAACUCGACUACAUGAAGCUGGAAUCGCUAGUAAUCGUAGAUCAGCAUGCUACGGUGAAUACGUUCCCGGGUCU
rnacentral:rRNA from 1 species